AGUGAACGCUGGCGGUAGGCCUAACACAUGCAAGUCGAACGGCAGCACAGAGGAGCUUGCUCCUUGGGUGGCGAGUGGCGGACGGGUGAGGAAUACAUCGGAAUCUACUCUGUCGUGGGGGAUAACGUAGGGUAACUUACGCUAAUGCCGCAUACGAACUACGGGUGAAAGCAGGGGAUCUUCGGACCUUGCGCGAUUGAAUGAGCCGAUGUCGGAUUAGCUAGUUGGCGGGGUAAAGGCCCACCAAGGCGACGAUCCGUAGCUGGUCUGAGAGGAUGAUCAGCCACACUGGAACUGAGACACGGUCCAGACUCCUACGGGAGGCAGCAGUGGGGAAUAUUGGACAAUGGGCGCAAGCCUGAUCCAGCCAUACCGCGUGGGUGAAGAAGGCCUUCGGGUUGUAAAGCCCUUUUGUUGGGAAAGAAAUCCAUCUGGUUAAUACCCGGGUGGGAUGACGGUACCCAAAGAAUAAGCACCGGCUAACUUCGUGCCAGCCGCCGCGGUAA
rnacentral:rRNA from 1 species